AUUCGGACCGGCGGAGGAAAAUCCCGGCGAGAUUUGAGGUUUCUUUGUCGGCCUUUGGGCAGCGGAGGAGCCAGAAUCCGCUGUUCUUCUUCAGAUCCGUAGCUGAUCGGGAGCUGUUCUGUUUCCGCCGGUUUCUUGAUGCUCUGUCAUGUCUUCGCCUGUAAGAAAGCCGCAAUCUCUGAUGAAGAAGCAGUGGGAUGAGUUGGGAAGCUGUUCCAAGGUUGUUCAGAGACACCGCUUCCUCUUGACAGCUUUGUCUCUUCUCGCCUUCCUCUGUACCGUCUAUCUCUAUUUCGCCGUCACCUUAAGCGCGAGCCUUCCUUGUACGGGCCUCACCGGAAAAGACAAGGCAAUGUGUGAGCUUGAACAUGUCCAGAAGACCACAGCCUCCAAAGGGAAACUCAAGUUUUUGUAGAGUUUUAAUCAUUGUUCUUCUUGAACUUAUCAUUCUUUUUUUUUUGUGCUCUUUCUCUACACGAUUUGCGUGUACUGAAUGGCAGAUAAUAUAUACAACGGCGUUCUCUCUCUCUAUAUAUAUAUCGUUUGAACUUUGAA